rnacentral:rRNA from 1 species
CCUACGGGUGGCAGCAGUGGGGAAUAUUGGGCAAUGGGCGCAAGCCUGACCCAGCCACGCCGCGUGAAGGAAGAAGGCCCUCGGGUUGUAAACUUCUUUUAUUCGGGAAGAAAAAAAUGACGGUACCGAAUGAAUAAGCCACGGAUAACUACGUGCCAGCCGCCGCGGUAAUACGUAGGUGGCAAGCGUUCUCCGGAUUUACUGGGUGUAAAGGGCGUGGAGGCGGGAGAGCAAGUCAGACGUGAAAUUCCAGGGCUCAACCCUGGAACUGCGUUUGAAACUGUUGUUCUGGAGUGAUGGAGAGGCAGGCGGAAUUCCGGGGGUAGCGGUGAAAUGCGUAGAGAGACGGAGGAACACCAGUGGCGAAGGCGGCCUGCUGGACAGUAACUGACGCUGAGGCGCGAAAGCGUGGGGAGCAAACAGGAUUAGAUACCCUGGUAGUC